AGUGUUGCCAGAAUGGAGA
rnacentral:piRNA from 1 species